UACGUAGGGGGUAAGCGUUGUCCGGAAUUACUGGGCGUAAAGGGCGCGCAGGCGGUAUAUCAAGUCAGCUGUCAAAGACUGGGGCUCAACCCUGGUAUGCGGUUGAAACUGAUAUGCUGGAGUGCUGUAGAGGCAAGUGGAAUUCCCAGUGUCGCGGUGAAAUGCGUAGAUAUUGGGAAGAACACCGGUGGCGAAGGCGACUUGCUGGGCAGCAACUGACGCUGAGGCGCGAAAGCCAGGGGAGCAAACGGGGAUUAGAUA
rnacentral:rRNA from 1 species